AUUGUGGUGGUGGCGAUGGUUGGGGUAAAGGGGACGUUUGAUAAUGCUAUAACUCUCCCUCUCGUCCCUCUCACUCUCCCUCCCAGCAAACACAGACAGCCGCCAGCCUCCCGCCACCGCCGCCCCUACAGGCACAAAGACCCGACGGUGACUCCCUGCUAAUGUCUGAAGGAGGUGGACUCUUCCCCAGCCCGGCCAGAGGGGAACUGAGGGUUUGAGGCCGCCCUGGAAUACUACAGGUGGCGUGAGGGCGGUGUGGUGGGGGAGGAGGUUUUUGUAGAGGCUGAUCGUCAAGGGGUUUGGAAACGUGUGUGUAUGUGUGUAUGUGUGUGUGUGUGUGUGGGUGUGUGUGGGUGUGAUUCUAACUUGCUUGAGGGUUUCUUUUUUUACAUAUUGUUUGCUUAGAUUAUUCUUCUCUUGCAUCCCGCUUAUUCCACCGUCUGUAACUCAUGCCUGUAUUUUCCUCCUCGCCCCGCAGCGGCCAAGGGGAGCGUGCCGUGCAGCCGCCGCGGCCGCCUGCUUGUACAUGAGGCCACACGGCACAGGUAGCGUUCCCCCCUGCUUCGAAUCGUCACCAGGUAUAAUAUCUAAACUUCUAAAUGUCCGGGUCUGUGGGAGUGUACAGUUUACGAGAUCAUUAAAAUGUUAUAUGAAGAUAACGCUUUACCUCUCCACCUCUCGCGCGAGUAUCGAUUCAAACCUGGCGCUGCCGCGUGGCCCCGCCCCCCUGGCCACGCCUGCUCCGCCGCUCAUUGGCUCUCGCACCCAAUAAUUAUUUAUUUUAUGUGUUGACAGAAAAUUCUUGCGGGCAAUGUUUCUCCUUUUCUUCACGCCAUUUAGUGUUUGUAUCUGUCUGUCCUUCACGUUUCCGUCACGCUGGCCGCCGCCGAAGGCUCUGGAAAAGCAGUUAAGGGCGCUGAGGCACCUUUAGCGAUGGUACAAAGCUGGCACUCCUAAAUACUGCCACUCGCUAUCAUCCCUCCCAUGGGGUGUGUCUCCCGCCAACUCGGUCGCUGUUCAGUGGCAGACGACACUCGGCAGCGAUAGCAUUUAGGGUGGCGGCCCACACUCACGUAUAUCAGUCGGACCUUUAGUUUAACCCUGUACAAAGCGUGUGGCUCCUGCCUCCCGCUCGCUACGGUGCCGGAAAUUCCAGCCGGGGAGGACCGGACAUCAAGAUGGCUCGGAUAUUCUCGGAUGGCGGAGCGAUAGCAGACGACGCGCUUAGAGCCAUCUUUGACGGAGGUGGCGGCCAGUCGGGAGGGUGGCGCGGCGGGGCCAGCGUGGGCGGCUAGUGAGUCUCGGCGUGCCCUUCCUGCAGCACACACGCUCCUCCCGUCGCUCCUGUCCUUGCCUGGCCUCCACACAGACGCCGCUACACAACAGUGUCUUUGCUGUGCCAGUGCUGACUUGUUCCCGCUCAGGAAGUGGCACUCAGAGCCAGAGACACAACCUGGCAGCAGCACCUCCUUGGGUCGAGAAGGCGUCACGUGGGGGGCUGCUGGUGACGCUGGGCGGGACACGAUGACGCAAUACUCGGACUUACGCAACGCUAUCAGCUUCCCAGUACUACCGACGUCAACGAGGCCGAAGGGAAAGGCAAGAAGCAAGAGAAGGCAAGAAGAACGACCCACCCAGCAGUAGUACGUCCGUCGCCUCUCCCUCCAUCCUUCCACAGGUUUUUUCAGCGGCAGACACGUCAAUAUGGUGGUGUCUGCUGUGUGUGUGUGUGUGUGUGUGUGUGUGUGUCUGGGAGGAUAGGGAGGAUGGUGAAUGGAUGAAGGGAAGAGCAAUAGACAGUUGGAUGGAUAGGAUGGAAAGGAUAGUGGUGGAUGAUUGAAAGGAUAAAUAAAAGGGUAGAAUAUGUAGUUUGAUGGAUGCGUGGAUGAAUGAUUGGGAGGAUAGUUAACAGAGGAAGAGAAAGGUGAAUAAGUAGUUACGUAGAUAAAUGGAAGUGAGGAAGGAGUGAGAGAAUGGUGAAUAGAUGAAUAAACGGGUGAAUAGGUAGUCUAAUGGAUGAAUAGAAGGGCAAAAGAGGUAGUUUGAGGCAUGAAAGAGUGAAGAAUUGGAAAGACACUUAAUAGAAUGGAAGGAUAAAUGGGUAGUUACGUAGAUGGAUGAAUGGAAGAAAAUAUUGGGAGGAUAGUGAGUGAAUGAAUGGAAGACUGAAUGAGUAAAUGGAUAAAAGGGUAAGCUAAUACGGAGGAUGAGUAAAGAGUGGGUGACUAAUGGCCUUACUCACUCUCCAUUUACCUGUUGAUCCUAUAUACCUGACUAAUUAAUUGUCUGUAUACCUGUCUGUCUAUCUGUCUGUGUGUCUGUCUUUGCUUCGAGUUCUCUCUACAUGUAUAUCUGUGUCUGUCAACCUCUUUAUCGAUUUUUCUGUGUGUCUUUGUGUGUGUAUCUUAUCUAUCUUCCUGUGUGUGUGUGUGUGUGUGUGUGUGUGUGUGUGUGUGUGUGUGUGUACCUAAUCUUAUCUUUGUAUGUAUGUACGUUUGUUUGCUUGUCUUUCUAUUUCUGUCUCAGUGUGUGUUUCCUGUCUGUCUGUCUGUGUGUCUGUUUCCUUCUCUUUCUGUAUCUCUGUCUGUAUGUCCUUGCGUCGUCACUUUGUCCUUGUAUGUUUGUUUCUUUGUCUGUCUUUCUGUCUGUCUUUGUCUCUAUAUCUUUCUCUUUCUGUCUGUGUAUCUGUCUGCCCGUGUGUCUGUCCGUCCUCUCCUCGUCCCUUUGGUCCACCUGGAGGUCUGAAUUGUUGUUUAGAGGCGCCUCCCCCGACAAGGCCUCGGCCCGCGACACAUAAGACCCAGUUGGUGCCCCCGCGAGACCCAGACAUUCCCUUCCGCCGCUGGUCACUGUCUCUGUCUGCCUCCUCCUCCUCCUACUCCUACUCCUCCUACUGCUGCUAUUCCUUCUUCGCCUUCCUGCUGCCAUUCCUUCUCCUGUUCCUUCUCGGCCUUCUCUCCCUCUUCUUCCUUCUUCUCGUUCCUGCUUUCUUUUUCUCUUCUUCGUCUUUCGGUCCUCUGCUUCUAUUUCUGCCUCUGUCUCUUUUCAUUCUGUCUCUGUUCCUCUUUCUCUUCAUUCUCCUCUUGUUUCCUCUUCUUUUUCUUCUCUGCCUCUACUCCUCCCAAACCUUUUUUGUUUCUUCUUCCUCUUCUUCUUCUUCUUUCGGUCAUUUUUCCUCCUCCUCCUCAUUCUCUUUUUCAUCAUCAUCAUCAUCAAAUUACACUAGUCUUUUUUCUUUUUAUUUAUACUUCUCGUCUUCUUCCUUUCUUCUUCUUUCUCCUCCUCUUCCUCGUUGCCUCUCCCCCCCCCCCCCCCCCCUUUCAGCACACACUCCCUUCAAACCAGCCAGUCGUU